rnacentral:rRNA from 1 species
ACGUUAGCAACAGAAGAAGACACCGGCUAACUCCGUGCCAGCAGCCGCGGUAAUACGGAGGGUGCGAGCGUUAAUCGGAAUUACUGGGCGUAAAGACGCAUGCAGGUGGUUUGUUAAGUUCAGAUGUGAAAGACCCGGGGCGUCAACCUCGGAACUGCAUUUUGAAACUAGGCAGACUAGAGUACUGUAGAGGGGGGUAGGAAUUUCAGGUGUAGCGGUGAAAUGCGUAGAGAUCUGAAGGAAUACCGGUGGCGAAGGCGGCCCCCCUGGACAGAUACUGACACUCAGAUGCGAAAGCGUGGGGAGCAAACAGGAUUAGAUACCCCUGGUAG